AGGAGCUUGUCAUGUGGUUAAAUCAAGAUUCACUUGCACGUUCACUCACAUAUGCUGCUUCUACUCCGGAAGUACCAUCCACAUAUAUCCACUUAUUUCCAUCUCCAGAAUCACCUAAAAAUAUUCUACUCCUGAUCCGGGAGAGAAUAGCCAAAAAUAUUUCUGUUUUUCCCUUGUGAAAUAAAUGCUCAAGUUAUCUUGUUACUACCACUUGCUAUAUUAUCUCAAGAGAUGAGUGCUCUAAAGAAAAAAAAGAAAAGAUACGAGGAAAUAAAAAGGGGCAAGUGCCCGGAACCUCGAAAGGAAAGAAAAAGUGAGACGAGAGGUAAAAAUGGACAAGUGUCCGACAGUAGAAUUAGGGGUGCAAGAUACCCACCUAAGAGAAGAAAAAGAAGAGCAUCUCAUUCUCUUCACAAAGUUUCAAAAAGCAAGAAAGGUAUGUAUCCCCUCAAAAGAGCAAAAGUAGAAUUAGACUUUCACCAUUGUUAUCACCAUCAUCACCAUACACCAUUCAUUCGCCACACAUGCACAUCUUGAUUUGGCUUAUUGAUUUGUUUCUUUGGAUCCAUGGUUUGACUAUACAAUAAAUGUCUUGUAAGUAUGUAUACUUUAUCUCCCACCUAUGAGCUCC
rnacentral:lncRNA from 1 species